rnacentral:lncRNA from 1 species
AAAAAUAAUGCUCCUGCAGGAUAUUUUGUAUUUACAACAUCAGACAGUACCAUCAAAUGCUAUAUAUUAGUUAGCUAUAAGUAGGAAUCUUUCAUCGGAUUGUCCUCUAAAUAAUACCAUGGAGGCAUGAAAGUAAGUAUUUUCGGUCAGGAAAACAAAGAUGCCAGCUUCCACCAUGAAUCGCAGAAUUUUCAUAUAGUUGUGCUCACAAAGCUAUUUAAACAUAAAAGGAAACAGUAGUACCUUGUAUAUUUGUACAACCUAUCAAGAACAGAGUUGUCAAUUAAUCUCUUUGUAUUGAUGCCCUCAUCACCAGGCCCACUAUCACUGAUACCUUCUCUUCCGGAACCAUAAGUAGUGUGGUCAUUGUAGAAAUAUGACAAGUUAUAUUCUACUUGUGUCUAUCUCUAUCUUGUGAUUCCACUGCCCACUGCCGUGGUUGCACUGCUCAUGUCGGAUUAGAGUUAUGGUGCCCUGAGAAACACGAGCAAAGUUUGAAUAAUCCAGUGGUUAUAUUCUACUUAAAAUGGGGCCAUUAUGCAUAAUAUUAUGUAUGAAUCGCUAUGAGAGAGAACUGAACAAAUUAUAUAGCAAACUGAGUCUCAUAUUCAAUUAUAUCCAUGGAAAAUAUAUUAUGAUCUCUAAACUACAGCAGUGUACAAAGAAGCGACAACCAACUAAGGAAGCGGAAGUGGACGCUCACAGAGAUGACAGACCCAAGUCUGGGAAGGAUGACAGUCGGAUAGAUAUCUCAUCUCUGCUUCUGCUCAUCUCCGUUUAUUAAGAUGCGACAACAUAUGUAUAUAUAUGAUGUGCACCCAACUCUGUCCUGAGCAUUGCCUGCUGCUGAACCUGCACAUGAAAAAACUGACAAAUAUUCUUAUUCUUGUUCUGCCUUAUGCAACAGGUCCGAUGAACCUGCAGCUCAGUAAGUAGGUUAUGGAAAGAAAUAUGGGGAAUGAUGGGGAAAAAGGUUGCAGCUAACCUGGAAGGGACACCCUGUCACCAUCAAAAAGAGAGGCUAUUUGUACAGCAACACAACUCGGUGUAGGAAUCAAUGGUCACCCAAACACUAAUCAUAUAUAUAUUACCUGUUUUCCUGCAAUUGUUAAGAUCCAAAUCAGCAUCUGUUAACUAAUGCAGAGCGUGAAUUUCUCUGCAGACAAAAAAGGCUUUGCAGAUUCAGUAUAGCUGACACAAACAAAAUGCAUUACCUGUUUUCCUCAAGAAUCCGUGACUGAAAGCUGUGGAGAGCAAAUUGCAAAAUAUGAGCAUUAGUAUCACAGAAAUUCAAUGGGACUUCAACAAGACCAGGGCUUGUUUUUCACACUAUUGAACGCUCACGUCUUUCAUAUUUGAUCCACCUUUCAGCUGGGCAAAACAACAAACAGGUGGGGGCACAAUAUCUAUUUAUGCUCAGAAAAGAAAUUACCAAAUAUCCGGACACGAGGGCGUGCGUGAGAGGACGGAGGCGAGGACGCGCGGACUGAUCGCUCGGGUGGAUGGACGGCAGCGCAAAAGCCGGACGGAGCCGGCCGUCUCUGCGGCCCACGCUCCUCCUACCGACGCCGGCGCCGUGGACCACCGCUGCGGCUCGAGCUCCUCCCGGGGUCGCCGCUGCACGCGUGGAGAUGGAGGCGGGGUGCAGCCUCCCGUGCAUCGCGCCCGAGCCCCAGCCUCCUCACAGCUCCCGAUCCAGGAACGGAUCGAGCCGCCGCCAACCGCCAGGUCGCGCCCGACCUCGCCGGCGCAGGCUGACGCCGGCCGCCACACCUCCCUCCCCUCUUUCCUCUCUCUUUCUCCCUCCUCCCCUCUCCUUCCUUCUCUCUCUCCCUCUCAUUUUCUCUCUCUGCUAGGGUUCGUGCGGGAGGAGGGGAUUGGGGAGGCUAGGGUGGGGGCUGGGGAUGGGCGGUGGCUGGGGAUGACGAGACGCCGCCGCGCAUGAAGAGGAGAGGAAGGCGACGCGAGGAGCUGCGCCAGCCGGUGGGGGAGACAGGCGGCCGAGAGGGAGGGGGGAAGCCGCGGCGGAGGCGGCAUGGAGGAGAGGAGCGGGAUAGGAAGAGACGAGGGAGAGAAAGGGGGUGACGAGGGAGAUAUUUCUGCAGCUGCCUCUGUCCGCUCUCGCUGCCAGAAAGGGGGUUCGCUCGCUGUGGCGCACUCUUCCCUCGCGUGGUGCGCUACGCCCUUGCUGUUUUGCGGUGGUUUUUUACCCUCGCGUGGUGCGGUGCGCUGGAGACCUUCAUUCUGCCUAUCAGUCCACCAGGGUUUAUAUGUUCAAUCAGUCCACCAGGGUUUAUAUGUUCAAUGACCACCCCCACAGAUCGAGCAUUUCGGUUCUCUCCUUUUCUUUUCAAGCGUGUCCCCUCUCUGUGGACAAGUUGUGCUUUUGUGACCAGGGCCACGGCAUAUAGUGCAG